rnacentral:rRNA from 1 species
UACGGGGGGAGCAAGCGUUGUUCGGAUUUACUGGGCGUAAAGGGCGCGUAGGCGGCGUGACAAGUCACUUGUGAAAUCUCCGGGCUUAACUCGGAACGGUCAAGUGAUACUGUCGACGUACGUAGACUAGCAAGGACGGACACUGGAAGUUCUCGGUGUAGCGGUAGAAAUGCGGUAGAUAUCGAGAGGAACACCUGCGGCGAAGGCGGGUUGCUGGGCUGAUACUGACGCUGAGGCGCGAAAGCCAGGGGAGCGAACG